GUCUUUGGCCAUAACACCCUAAAUGUGCCCAAUCCCAUCUUGUCUCAGAAGCCAAGUAGGGUUGGAUCUGGUUAGUACUUGGAUGGGAGACAGAUCUUCAAAAGAGACUGCUCAGAGACA
rnacentral:rRNA from 1 species